CGUAGGGUGCAAGCGUUAAUCGGAAUUACUGGGCGUAAAGCGUGCGCAGGCGGCUUUGCAGGACAGAUGUGAAAUCCCCGGGCAUAACCUGGGAACUGCAUUUGUGACUGCAAGGCUAGAGUACGGCAGAGGGGGAUGGAAUUCCGCGUGUAGCAGUGAAAUGCGUAGAUAUGCGGAGGAACACCGAUGGCGAAGGCAAUCCCCUGGGCCUGUACUGACGCUCAUGCACGAAAGCGUGGGGAGCAAACAGGAUUAGAUACCCUGGUAGUCCACGCCCUAAACGAUGUCAACUGGUUGCUGGACGGCUUGCUGUUCAGUAACGAAGCUAACGCGUGAAGUUGACCGCCUGGGGAGUACGGCCGCAAGGUUG
rnacentral:rRNA from 1 species